CACACACACACACACACACACACACACGUGCGCAUGCUAUCUGUUCAAGAAUGAAAAAAAAGAUCUAGUUCCUGUCUUGAGGCAAAUGUUUGUUGGAAUAAGUGGUGAUUUCCUGGUCGUGCUUUAAAAGGAGAUGAGACAGACUUCUUUUAACCAGAGUGUUAAUCCAGCAGUGGAUGAGACGCACAACGGAGCACGGAGAAGGAAAAAUCAUGGAAACAUGAUGGAGUGUGUAUGUCUUAGCAGUGGCAUUAGGAAUGUCUCCUCUGGUUUUAAUGCACCGUUGCCCGUCGGUGGAGGAUGCAGUCUAAAGCUCGGCACACAUGAAGCCCAUUUACCGUCAUCCUCGCAUCUGUUCUCACUAAUCCCCUCCAGACGUAACAAUAUGUUGUCCAAUAAGAUUAUGAUUGCUCAAUAAGCCUUAUCUAUGUAAUUCAGAAAACAUAUACGGCUUUAAACGAGCUCGCUAGAUUAGAGCAGUUUGGAGCUAAUCUGGAGUCAGUCUGGAGUCAAUCUGUGCUGCUAGGGGGAGGAGGGAAUUAUUUUAAUCUCGUGGAAAUAAUCCUGUGAUUCCCCCGCAGUCUGUUUUGUUUUAUUAAAAGCCGAGUGUGUGAGUUGAUUUAACGUCAUACUAAUCCUCCAGUCGCUGUGUUGCUGAGGCUCGAGACGCCCCGGGAGUUUGAAACGCGUGCUCUGUGUAAUUUACACGCACGCUGUUAUUAAUGAAAUCAGCACUUUAAUUGAUUAGACAGGGAGAUUAUGAUGACAUGAGCAUGAGCAGAUUACUGUAUUGACUGCGGCUUGUUUAAUAAAGGUGUAAUCACAGUGUAAUUAAACACAUUAUUUACAGCUUAUCAGAAGAUUUAGUUCAAUUCAGGUUUAAUAGAUAAUUGAGUACUCGUGUAUAUUUUUUAUUCAUUUGGAUGUGGAUUAAAGAAGGUGAAUUGAUGCUUAUCGAAAACA